rnacentral:rRNA from 1 species
GACGAACGCUGGCGGCGUGCCUAAUACAUGCAAGUUGAGCGCUGAAGGUUGGUACUUGUACCAACUGGAUGAGCAGCGAACGGGUGAGUAACGCGUGGGGAAUCUGCCUUUGAGCGGGGGACAACAUUUGGAAACGAAUGCUAAUACCGCAUAAAAACUUUAAACACAAGUUUUAAGUUUGAAAGAUGCAAUUGCAUCACUCAAAGAUGAUCCCGCGUUGUAUUAGCUAGUUGGUGAGGUAAAGGCUCACCAAGGCGAUGAUACAUAGCCGGCCUGAGAGGGUGAUCGGCCACAUUGGGACUGAGACACGGCCCAAACUCCUACGGGAGGCAGCAGUAGGGAAUCUUCGGCAAUGGACGAAAGUCUGACCGAGCAACGCCGCGUGAGUGAAGAAGGUUUUCGGAUCGUAAAACUCUGUUGGUAGAGAAGAACGUUGGUGAGAGUGGAAAGCGCAUCAAGUGACGGUAACUACCCAGAAAGGGACGGCUAACUACGU